rnacentral:rRNA from 1 species
CAGCCGCCGCGGUAAUACCGGCGGCCCGAGUGGCGGUCACUAUUAUUGGGCUUAAAGCGUCCGUAGCCGGGUUGGGGAGUCCUCCGGGAAAUCUGGCCGCUUAACGGUCAGAAUGCCGGAGGAUACUCCCAGCCUAGGGAGCGGGAGAGGGCGAGGGGAUUCCCGGGGGAGGGGGGGAAUCCUAUAAUCCCAGGAGGACCACCAGUGGCGAAGGCGCCCGGCUGGCACGCGCCCGACGGUGAGGGACGAAAGCUGGGGGAGCAAAGGGGAUUAGAUACCCCCGUAUUCCCAGCUGUAAGCGAUGCGGGCUAGAUGUUGGGCGGGCCUCGAGCCCGCCCAGUGUCGUAGGGAAGCCGUUAAGCCCGCCGCCUGGGGAGUACGGCCGCAAGGCUGAAACUUAAAGGAAUUGGCGGG